rnacentral:other from 1 species
AUAUGCCUGCGGUGUUGGUGAACUUCGAGCUUAAUUCGAACCGAACACCAAUUCACAUGGGAGCUUUAUAUUAAAGCAUGUACAACAUGCCUCCAUAGUACAUUGGUACUAUCGUGGAAGUUGGAAAUGCUUUUGCAAGCACCCACCUGCUUUAGGGCGGGUUCGUGAAAUCUGGAAGAUAACCGCAUUGCGGGCAAAAU